rnacentral:rRNA from 1 species
GAUGAACGCUAGCGGGAGGCCUAACACAUGCAGGCCGAGCGGGAUUUGAGACUAGCUUGCUAGUCUUAAUGAGAGCGGCGUACGGGUGCGGAACACGUGUGCAACCUGCCUUUAUCUGGGAGAUAGCCUUUCGAAAGGAAGAUUAAUAUCCCAUAAUAUAAUGAUUGGCAUCAAUUAUUAUUGAAAGCUCCGGCGGAUAGAGAUGGGCACGCGAAAGAUUAGCUAGUUGGUGAGGGAACGGCUCACCAAGUCGAUGAUCUUUAGGGGGCCUGAGAGGGUGAUCCCCCACACUGGUACUGGGACACGGACCAGACUCCCACGGGAGGCAGCAGUGAGGAAUAUUGGACAAUGGGUGAAAGCCUGAUCCAGCCAUCCCGCGUGAAGGAUUAAGGACCUAUGGUUUGUAAACUUCUUUUCUACAGGGAUAAACCUACUCUCGUGAGAGUAGCUGAAGGUACUGUAUGAAUAAGCACCGGCUAACUCCGUGCCAGCAGCCGCAGUAA